rnacentral:lncRNA from 1 species
AAAUUUAAGUAAAAUAGUUUGUCGAUAAUGCAAAAGACAUUUCAUGAGUUGUAAUUUUAUUCCAAAUAUAUAAUUUCAGUUGUGUUUCUCUUACAGUUAUGAUUGAAGAUUGGAAAGCUAAUUGGUGCUUUUAUUCAGCAACUUCAGCAACGGGAACACAGGCAUGCUGUUCAUGCAUUGAUUGUUCAACUUUCCUGUUGUUGACAUUCAAUAGUGGAAUUCAACUGAACUUGUCAGGUAACGUUUCUUUAAAAAUGUAUGAUUUUUAGCAUGUGUAAUUAUUUUUGCAGACAUUCUCUGGCCAUUUGGAUGCUUUGUUGUUAAAUGCUUUACGUAGGACAAUUCACAAGCAAGAGUUAAAUCUUUAGACACAAGUGGUGUGGUUGAAGCCUGAAUAUAGUGUUGCUAAUUCAUGUCAUGAGAAGGCAUCUUUUUUUUUUCUUUUUUUUUCAAUUCAGGAUUAUUUGUCCAUCUUUGAGGGAUAGAUAGGGUCUUGUGAUUUAAGCAUUUGUUACUGGCAGCAGGUACAGACUAUAUUCUGCCCAGUUCAGUCUAAAUUUAUAUUUACUAUUUAGUUUUUUAUGGAAUUUGAGAAUUAGGUAUUUAUCUUUUUUUUUUAUUUAUUUAUUUUUUUUUUAUUGAAUUUGAGAAUUAGGUAUUUGUCAUUUAUAAAAGAUUUUGGGAGGACUCACUGGAAAAUGAUAAUGCAUUUGAGUGCUUUUGGGAGGGCUGGUAGCCAACCAGAUUGACAGUUUAUUUCUUUGGUAACAACCUGAUAUUGUGAAAUUAAAUGAAAUUUUAGCUAAAAUUUGAAUAUUGAGUAAUGAUUUAAUCAUUUAUGUUUUGUGGGAAACGCUUUCCAAUUUUUUUAAAGGUUGGUUAUCUAUGUCAUUUAACAAAAACUAACACUGAACACUUAUUAAUCAAAAAUUUUAAAUAGCAUUUUUUUUUAAUGCACUAGGUAAAAAGAGCUUUAGUUAAUGCAGGGGGUUUCAACCUGUGGGGCAUACCACUAACAUCUGUCAAUUCAGAGGCAUAACCUCCAGUAGCCUACUUAUGAAAUACAAUUCAUCUUGAUUGCAAAUUAAUGCACAGACACUAUUUAAACUGAACUGAGAUGACAUCACUGAAUUCAAUGAUGAACUGCCUUUAACUAUCAUUCUGCAUUAUUGACACACUGUUUUCCUAAUGAAUGUUGUUCAGUUGCUUUGACGCAAUGUAUUUUGUUUAAAGCGCUAUAUAAAUAAAGGUGACUUUGACUUUACAAGCCAGCACAUCUUUAGCCAUCCACUAGGGGGCAAUCUGAGUAGUCUAUUAGUCUGUUAAUCAUUUGA